UACGUAGGGUGCGAGCGUUGUCCGGAAUUACUGGGCGUAAAGGGCGCGCAGGCGGCCGUGUGUGUGAGGUGUGAAAGCCCGGGGCUUAACCCCGGAAUUGCACCUCAAACUACAUGGCUAGAGCAUUGGAGAGGGUAGCAGAAUUCAUGGUGUAGCAGUGAAAUGCGUAGAUAUCAUGAGGAAUACCAGAGGCGAAGGCAGCUACCUGGACAAUUGCUGACGCUCAGGCGCGAAAGCGUGGGGAGCAAAAGGG
rnacentral:rRNA from 1 species